ensembl:snRNA U6 U6 spliceosomal RNA
GUGCUCAGCAGCACAUAUACUAAAAAUUGGAAUGAUACAGAGAAGAUUAGCAUGGCCCCUGCUCAAGAAUGACCUGCAAAUUUGUGAAGUGUUCCAUGUUUAA